GUUCCUGGUGACUAAACUUCAGGUCCCCAUGUGGCCCCCCAGAACCACCUGGCUUUUUUGAACUGAUACUAUUUCUUGAUUAUUUGGUUCUCCACAUCAAAACAGCACAUUGAAAACAACAACAAUAACAACAACAACAAUAACAACAACAAUAACAAUAACAACACUCUGUUUGAGUCACACUUGGGGAAAACCAUUCUGCACAUGGAUCUAGUGCUUUUCCAAGGCCAGCCAUUACAAAUGAGGAUAUAAGAUGACAUGAGCGUAAGAA
rnacentral:lncRNA from 1 species